GAUGAAGAACGUAGCGAAAUGCGAUACGUAAUGUGAAUUGCAGAAUUCAGUGAAUCAUCGAAUCUUUGAACGCAUAUUGCGCUCUCUGGUAUUCCGGAGAGCAUGCUUGUUUGAGUAUCAGUAAACACCUCAACUUCCAUAUCUUUUUUGAAAUGGGAGUUGGACUUGAGUGAUCCCAACGCUUUUCCUCACCGAAAAGUGGCGGGUUACUUGAAAUGCAGGUGCAGCUGGACUUUUCUCUGAGCUAUAAGCAUAUCUAUUUAGUCUGCCUAAAAAACAGAUUAUUACCUUUGCUGCAGCUAACAUAAAGGAGAUUAGUUCUUGUGCUGACUGAUGCAGGAUUCACAAAGACAGGCUUCGGCCGACUUUGUAAACUCGACCUCAAAUCAAGUAAGACUACCCGCUGAACUUAAGCAUAUCAAUAAGCGGAGGA
rnacentral:misc_RNA from 1 species